CCUACGGGUGGCUGCAGCGGGGAAUAUUGCACAAUGGGCGCAAGCCUGAUGCAGCCAUGCCGCGUGUGUGAAGAAGGCCUACGGGUUGUAAAGCACUUUCAGCGGGGAGGAAGGCGUUAAGGUUAAUAACCUUGUCGAUUGACGUUACCCGCAGAAGAAGCACCGGCUAACUCCGUGCCAGCAGCCGCGGUAAUACGGAGGGUGCAAGCGUUAAUCGGAAUUACUGGGCGUAAAGCGCACGCAGGCGGUCUGUCAAGUCGGAUGUGAAAUCCCCGGGCUCAACCUGGGAACUGCAUUCGAAACUGGCAGGCUAGAGUCUUGUAGAGGGGGGUAGAAUUCCAGGUGUAGCGGUGAAAUGCGUAGAGAUCUGGAGGAAUACCGGUGGCGAAGGCGGCCCCCUGAACAAAGACUGACGCUCAGGUGCGAAAGCGUGGGGAGCAAACAGGAUUAGAUACCCUAGUAGUC
rnacentral:rRNA from 1 species